UACGAAGGGGGCUAGCGUUGUUCGGAAUUACUGGGCGUAAAGCGCACGUAGGCGGACUAUUAAGUCAGGGGUGAAAUCCCGGGGCUCAACCCCGGAACUGCCUUUGAUACUGGUAGUCUCGAGUCCGGAAGAGGUGAGUGGAAUUCCGAGUGUAGAGGUGAAAUUCGUAGAUAUUCGGAGGAACACCAGUGGCGAAGGCGGCUCACUGGUCCGGUACUGACGCUGAGGAGCGAAAGUGUGGGGAGCGAACAGG
rnacentral:rRNA from 1 species